GCCGCUGUGGUGGAACUGGUAGACGCGUCGGACUCAAAAUCCGAUGGUAGCAAUACCGUGAGGGUUCAAGUCCCUCCGGCGGCACCA
rnacentral:tRNA from 1 species